GCCUGGGUGGCUCAGUCGGUUGAGCGUCUGACUUUGGCUCAGGUCAUGAUCUCAUGGUUCGUGAGUUCGAGCCCUGCGUCAGGCU
rnacentral:tRNA from 1 species